UACGUAGGGUGCGAGCGUUAAUCGGAAUUACUGGGCGUAAAGCGUGCGCAGGCGGUUCGUUGUGUCGGCGGUGAAAGCCCCGGGCUCAACCUGGGAAUGGCCGUUGAAACUGGCGAACUGGAGUGUGGCAGAGGGGGGGGUGGAAUUCCGCGUGUAGCAGUGAAAUGCGUAGAGAUGCGGAGGAACACCGAUGGCGAAGGCAGCCCCCUGGGCUGACACUGACGCUCAGCACGAAAGCGUGGGGAGCAAACAGG
rnacentral:rRNA from 1 species